GGCAGCCCCGAGCCAAAGGGGUGGAAGGUCGCCGAGUACUGGGAGGGGAGGUGGGGCGGCGACUGAGCGCCCCAGGAGCUGGCUGCAAGCGAGACGCGGCCAGGGAGCGUAGGGAAUGGCAAUGUGGACCUCUGUGAUGGGACAACUGGUGGGAUCUCACAUCCAGUUCUGUGUCAAAGGAGGAUGAAGACUAAGGACUCAUGAGGAAGCUGGAUUACUGGACGAGAGCAAUGUUCUAGAAGGGAAGACCAGAAAAUGAGAUGGUGGAGUUUAAUAAGGCUGGACAGACAGUUUUGAAAGGCUCCUGUGACAAGUAGACAUGGCAGUGACUUCACCAUUUUGUUUCUGAGGUGCCUGGAUGGAGACUCAAAUAGAAGAUGGUGUCAGAUACAUUGUGUUGUCAAGAUUUUACCAUUAAAGUGUGUUAUAAACAUGAA
rnacentral:lncRNA from 1 species